rnacentral:tRNA from 1 species
GGAAGGAUGGCCGAGAGGAUUAAGGCAGCUGUUUACUAAACAGCCGAUCUGAAUAAGGUCCGGGGGUUCGAAUCCCUCUCCUUCCGCCA